AGUGAACGCUGGCGGUAGGCCUAACACAUGCAAGUCGAACGGCAGCACAGUAAGAGCUUGCUCUUACGGGUGGCGAGUGGCGGACGGGUGAGGAAUGCAUCGGAAUCUACUUUUUCGUGGGGGAUAACGUAGGGAAACUUACGCUAAUACCGCAUACGACCUACGGGUGAAAGCAGGGGAUCUUCGGACCUUGCGCGAUUGAAUGAGCCGAUGUCGGAUUAGCUAGUUGGCGGGGUAAAGGCCCACCAAGGCGACGAUCCGUAGCUGGUCUGAGAGGAUGAUCAGCCACACUGGAACUGAGACACGGUCCAGACUCCUACGGGAGGCAGCAGUGGGGAAUAUUGGACAAUGGGCGCAAGCCUGACCCAGCCAUACCGCGUGGGUGAAGAAGGCCUUCGGGUUGUAAAGCCCUUUUGUUGGGAAAGAAAAGCAGCAGGUUAAUACCCCGCUGUUCUGACGGUACCCAAAGAAUAAGCACCGGCUAACUUCGUG
rnacentral:rRNA from 1 species